UGUGUGUGUUAAGGACAGCAAUCAUUAGA
rnacentral:piRNA from 1 species